AUGAAGGAGAGUUUUGCUGCUAGUCCUAUUGAAAUCUGUGACAUGGAAGCCGAUGUGUUCAAGUCCUUGCUCCAUUUCAUAUACACCGACUCAAUUCCUUCGGUGCUUGAUGUGGUGAUGGCUGGUCAUCUACUCGUUGCGGCUGACAGGUAUAACAUUGUCAGGCUCAAGCUGAUAUGCGAGGAGAAAUUGUGCAAUCAUAUUGAUUCCAGCAUGGUGGCAACCAGUUUGGUUUUAUCUGAGCAACAUGGUUUCCAUCGUCUCAAAGAAGCUUGUUUGCAGUUCCUUGCUUCUCCAUCCAAUUUGGAGGCGAUGGUGGCAAGUGAUGGGUAUGAGCAUUUGAAAUCCAGCUGCCCGUCUGUCCUCAAGGAGGUGAUAUCUAGAAUCCUGCCGGCUGAACUGAAAGUGGCAAAGGAUAUUAUCAUGGCAAUGUGGAAGUAA
rnacentral:rRNA from 1 species